UCAAACGGGAUUUCUGUUUUUAUAUAAUUGUUAUACAACAUAAUAAAAUGUAUAUAAUAAUAAAUAAUAAAAGAACAUUCCUCUGAUGGCCUUGUCAUUUUCUUACUCAGACUCAUAUCUAUAUAUGAAGACCAGGGUCGGGCCGGCAGGACAACGGGAAAAAAAACCUGGUGGGCCCCGGCUUUUGUGGGCCCCGGCUUUUGUGGGCCCUGCCAGCCCUACACCAAUCAUCCUGCCACAACACGCCGCGCACGUGUGUCGCAUCACGGUGGGGAGACCCGGCGGAGAAACUAGACCUGUCCGACCCUGAUGAUGCCCGGUGUUGUAACCUACAGCAACCUGUCAGAGGUUGUACAUCCAAUACAAAAGCCAAUUGGAAAGUGAACCAAGAGAGCCCUUGGGACUGGAUGCACAGAACCAGUCAUCUCAUUAGAGAUAAUUCGUUGCCCUUUUAAGAAUAAAGACAAGGAAAACACAUUUAGAAUAUAAGAAAAAGAUAAUGAAGCGGUUAUAUCCAAUGAAGAGGAACAUUCCCUGUGUCAAGCCAAGAAGAAUGACACUGUACAAAGUGCUGCGGCGGCAUUGUGCCACUGAGAAAUCCAAUGACAUAACAAUGACUGCGUUGCUAGAGCAAGUAUCAGCCAGCAAGUAUUUCAACCGGACAUUGUAAGAUGAUAAGAGUGCUUAUUAGAAAGAAAGACUCCUUUAUAGACUGCAAAGCUUUAUUCGGUUCAAAUUGAUACUAUAUUUACAUUUUUAUUGAUUCAAAGGAAGGAACACUGAACCAAAAUGUAAUUAUAUUUCAGCAAGAGAAAAAAAUAUAAUUCUCUGGCUCCAUUAUUUGGUAAAUUGCUUUAUGGAUCAAUAUUCCGAGCAUGAUUUUUAUUCUUCCAGCAUGUCCCGGCAAAUCAACUGUCAGGGGAAAUAUACCCUGUUUAGAACCUGGAUUUAUUCUCUGUUUGUUUUAACUUAACUUAGCCAGUAAAGCUUCUGUUGGUGCCU